ACUCACCUUACCCACAUUUUUGGUAUAUGUUUUGCUCCCAAUUGUAGUUUCCUGAUACAAACUCUAUUCUCCAUUAUUAUUUAAGGAUUUUCAAUCAUAGUUUUAUAAUUACAAUUGCAAAUUAUUUUAGUUCUCUGAGAUUUAAUUCAUUUGGUCUGGAAACUUGAAUUCAUCUGAAGAUACUAAAUAAUUUCAUAUUCUCUUUUACUUUUUAGGUCAUUAAUCAUCAUAUGUAUUCUACCUCAUCCAAUUACGAAAAGCUUUUCCUGGAUUGAGUACAGAGCAGAAAUGCAUUCUCUUCUGAGAAAUGUCCAGUCAUGAAAAGCAAUAUGGAGGGGUAAUGAAGAUGAAGAGGAGGUAACCUAAUAAAAGGUAAGCACCUACUCUGUUAUAGGCAGUGUACUCGAUGCUUUAAAUGUGUUAUUUUGCUCAAUUAUUACAAUAUCUCAUUUCACACGUAAAGAAC
ensembl:lncRNA